CGGGAGCAGCAGCGGAGGGGGUUUCUCACUUUCUAGCAGCUUCGGUGCGCUGCGCUUAGACUAGGCAACAGGCGCUCUGCGGUGAAAUGAGGGGCUCUGCCCCACGAAUCCUUCUCGCUAGCUUCUUUCAGAGCUUGCCACGGAGAAAUUUCGUCUUUAUUCCUUGGGUAAUUCUCCUGCCUGGAGCCCUGGUUAGUCCCUUCGUCGCCGCUCCCUCCCCAUCAUGCCUCCUCUUCAGGGGGCGAACGUGCGUCUGUUCCGUUUGGAAACGUCUCCUUUGGCCUCGGAGCAGGACCCCAGUUCGCCGUGCGUCCCUGCGGGGCCUGGCCACCCAUCGCCUCCAGGUUGGUGAUUAGUUAUCUGGCACCACAGACCCCGUGGCAGCCAUGGAGUGGCUUCUCCUUUUGGUGAUUUUGGCAGCUGGCAUUUAUGGAGGAUUACAGCUUUCCAAGCCCCUUCCCAAGCCUCUGAUGUGUUUUGACACUAAUGCUCACGGCCACCCUCUGCGGUACUCAACAAGAAUGAGCUUCGCACAUCCGAUAAGCUAGCAUUUUCAAGAACCUGUAUCCUUGCAGCAAUUGUGUCUGGAUUCCAUGCUCUGGUGUGACUGUGACUCACUGUGGCUGUGCCCGAGGCCACCAUGUGGGACCCCCAGCCACCCUGCGGACGGCCGCAUGUGCUGGUUCCAGCAGAGGAAUUCAGCUGUGAUGUUUUAUUGUCAUAAACUGUUACAGUUGGAAGAGUCUUUGAGGAUCAUUUAAUCCAACUUCCAAGUUUCAAAGGAGAAAUUUUGAGGAAAAUUAUUUUUCGAUGAGAUCACCGGACAUUGUGACCAGCAUUAGCUCUCUCCAGUUAUACUUUUAUGUCGCUUAGUGCUGACAAUCCAUAAUUAAGGUUUCUCAACUUUAGAACAAAUAGUCACGAAUAUUCAUUGUUAGGGAAAGCAUGCAACCAAUCCACCUUGUUUUCCAUGUAAGAUGGGACCACAGAUAUCACUAAAGUAUGAAAAUUUGCUUUCAUGUCUCUUUGUGUAUUUUAGAUAAUGCGGACUUUGGGUUAGAUAAGCAUAUGUUUAUAUUUUGAUGGUGUCAUUAAAGCUAUCAGGCUUUUCUUAAAGAGCUGAGUAUGGCUUCUUAGGAUAUUACGUGGUUCUAACUUCAAGUUCUUAAUAUAAAUUAAGAACAUUUAUCUACUCAUUUAUCUAUUCCUAUAUGUAGCUUUAAAUAUGAGUCAAUGAAUAUACAUACAGACGUGUGUGUGUGUGCGUGCGCGUGUGUGCGCGCCCACGUGUAUGUAUGUGUGUGACAUUUGGGCUCCUUGGAAGAUUAUUCAGAUGAUAGCUUAUGACAGAAAUUUGCUUUCCGAUGCUCCAUUUACUGACAAGCCAGUGUAUAAUCAACUCUGAAUUUUUAUGCUUUUUCUACACAUAAAAUUCUAAGAGAUAUUAUAAAUAGUUUGUGUCCCUUUUGUAUAUAAUUUGGAUAUCUAAUUGUAGUUCCAAACUCAGACAUGUCUGUAGAAUGUAUUUUUAAUUCUUGCAAAGAACUAAUAAGUAUAGGUUAAAAGUAGUUUGGCAAGAAAGUGAUUAUGAAUACUAUUAAAGCUGGAAUCUAGCCCAGGAGAAAUACUUCAGUGGGUAGAAGACUUCAGUUUAUCUCCAUCUGGAGAGUGUUCAGGAAUACUUGAGAAACAGAAAUUGCUGCCUGUAAUGUCUUAAAACUGCUUGCUCUGCCUUCUUACAGUUUAAAUUCAGUCAUUAUCUGUCAAGGUUACAAAGGUACUGACUAGGAUUUAGAAAGGGACAUAUUGAGUCCUAUAUGACAUUAAGGUUUUAAAUACAAUGACUAAAGCAACUAAGAUCAUUCAAAAGGGAACCAAGAAGUUGGAAAGGAAGAAAUAAAAUGAGAAAAAGGUAAAGUAUAGGUGGAAAUGUCUGUUCAAAUAUUAGCCAUGUUGUAUAGAAAAAUUACAGAUGAAGGGAAAGAGUUUAUGCCAUGAGAUGUUUAACAUCAUCAAGUUUAACUUAGUGAUUUUUUGUGGUUGAAAUUUUUUUAAUAGAAAGAUAAAAAAUGUACUGAAAGUGCAUAAAACAUAGUAGCAAAUACUUUGAACAAAUAUCUGUUUAACAUAAACCGGGCUUAAAAAAACAAUGUCAAUCCGCUAGAAGCUAGCUGGUGUCUUUUCUCUAAUGCAUGGCCUUUUCUCCUUCUUUGGAGAUACCCCCAUCCUCACUUUAGCAUCUGUAGAGGGGUGGGUUAAUAACUGAUUAGACACAGGCAGAAGUAGAAUUACAGAAUUAGAAGGUGGGUUUGUUGGAAUAAUUUCAGAGUGAUCAAGAGUAAUGGAGACUAGCACAAAGAUUCUGGGAUUCUGGAAAGAGAGGUUAGAAGUGGAGCUGGGAUAUGAGAAGAGUGUGAGAAAAGAUUUCAGAAAAGGAGCUGUGAUAUGAGAAAAGGAGUGUAUAUAUGCCUAUGACUGGGUCACUUUGCUGUACAGCAGGGUGGUGUCACGUGGACACCCUUAGCUGCAAGAAGGUAAGGAGAGGGGUUAUUUUUCAGAGGAAACGUUUGGGUAUUUAGUCCCUGAAAUAAGGAACAGGUGAGCACCAGCUGUGAGGCAAGUUGUCAUAUAAAUGAAUAUCUAUUUGUAUCAAACCCAGAUUUAACUUAUUUUAGAAUGCAUUGUUUGAGAAUUUAACAUAUGCCCAUAUUUUAGCACAAAGGCAUUUUGAAAAUGACGGCAGUCUUAACCCUACAACAUAAAGUAAAUCUGCCUUCUGCUGGGGUCUUUGCUUUUCUUCUUCCCUUCCCAUCAGCCAAGCCCAGUUUAAAAUCCAGCCCGGGACGUAGAGCUUUUCAUGGGCACCACCACAACCCUGGAACCUAUAACCACCAGCCACCCGUGCCUCCAUGUCACCUGGCCCCCAGGUGAUGGAGAGGCGACUGGAUCCAGGCCACUGCUGCUUUCGCAGCUUCCCCUGUGCAGCACCCUGCUGCAGGCUGGGCUCCCCGUCUCCCCAGCAGUGAUUAAGGCUGGGCCUGUGCUGCAGCCUGCGGUAUUGGCCAAAGGCCUGGAGCAGGUGAGCCAGUGGGAAGUGUUCACAUUGCCACACUCUGAAAAUCAGUUUUCAGCUUAAAAAAAAAAAAUGUCAUGAAAAUCAGUAGAGGCAGAAUUUUAUUUGCCAUUUUCUUGGACGUAAUAGAAUUUCCAAAACUCAUCUGCUUCACGUUAAAACUUAGAUUUUUUUUCCACUUCGGCUUUUAUCUGAAGGCCGUAAUCAACCACAAGCAAUGCAAAGGGGAAGUCCUGAGUGUGCAGCCUGUCGGAAGCUGCCUCAUCAGAGCCCUUCACAUCCGCAGGAAAGGCCUGCAGGCGGGAGCGUGUGGGUGGGUCCCACUGGCCACGAGCCUGCUCAGCUCAGCUCGGCUGCUCAGGGCACCUGGGCUCCUGCAAGGAGCUAGGGCCAUGGGACAGACACUCUGAGAAAAGUGCCCUGAACAUGGUAGACAGUUUGGAGGCCCGGGCGUGAGGUCUCUCUGCUGCCUUUGGCCUCCCCCGUGCCGUGGGCGGCACCUGUGUGGGUGCAGGGCUGGGUGUGCCCUGAAUGUGUGUGUGUGUGGACACACGUGUCCUCAGCAUUGCAUGGGCUCAGAGGUUUAGGAAACAGCAGGAGCAACGCCCACGGUCCCGUUCUGUCCAGAACGGUUCUUCCUCAGAGGACAGGAGUCCACUAAUUUAGUUCAUCCUUUAAGGGUUUCCUGGAGCCGUGGACAUUGUGGUUUAGAUAAGGAACUUGAUUAUUUUUACUUAAGACAUUUGCAUAGGAUAUUAUCUGUCAAAAUGACCCUGAGAAACAGGGGGCAGAGUUUGGAAAUGGGGACCUGCCCAGCCUGGAGCCCUGGGUGGGCAGUGCUAGGUGGUUCCUGUUGGCCGCCGCUGGCCAUGGAGUUGACCCCCAUGGAAGUGGGGUCCUGCCUGGGUUCUCAGCGGUCAGUCAGUGUUUUCUGAAUUGAACUGUUUAGUAUCAACUCCUUAACUAGCAAUAGAUCAAUGAUUUCUUGUUUCCAUUGACACAUCUGAGGAAAACCUGUGUUUUCCCCCAGAAAUGUUAAUAUCAUGAAAAACAUUUUCUAUGCUCUGAAAAGCACAGAAAUGAAAUUUUUUCUUUGAGUCCUUAUUAAGUCCUGGGGGAAAUUACUUUUAAAGGACCCAAACAUUUUUAGACUUCCAGGGUGUCGAGAUUGAAAAAUGUUUUUGAAGAAAUGGUGUUUGGUUUUUGUUUUGCUUGCAUUAUUUUGUAUGUAAUGGCUGUCCUUUGGGAGCAUGGGUCCUAGUCAGACGUCUGCCCUCUAACUGGCUCCAUUAUUUCACACCUAGUUGGUCUCUUGUCUCUCAGCCGCUUGCACUGGUUUUCUCUAUUUGUUCAUCGGCGCCAGUUUAACGCAACUCCCACCACCUUGUGGAUCUUUCAUUUCUCAGGCUGCAAAAUGCUAAUGAUUUCUUCCUGCCAGUCAGUUGGUACUAAAGUUGCCAUCUGCUUAUCUUUUGUCUCUUGCUACCGUGGCCUUGUGUUGUUUAUAGAUCUGUGUGUCGAGAUUUUUAAUUGGUCUUGAAAUGGUCCAUUAAUCAUUCAAUACAUUUAUGAACGAGGCUGCUUUUCUCUGACGAGUGCGUAGAGCAGAUAUUUUAGGAUGUUUCCUUUCUGUGCCAUCUUAACAGAUGUUCUGUCAGUUUUCUUUAGUUCUUUCAUUGUCCUUUUAAGCCAAGCUCACAAUUACCUAAAGAUUAAUUUCCCUCCCUAGACUGGCUGAGCAAAUGAUACAUAAAAUAAAAGAAAAAAAGAGCUUCAAAGGAAGGUGUGGCCCUUGGGUGAACAGCCUGUGGCCAUCCACGGUGUUAGUGACAGUGCUUUUCGGUAUGAGGCCUCACAGUCGUGGAUUUUAUAAAGUCCACCAGAAGAGUGAGUUUCAAUAAAACAGUGCUUGGUGGGGGGUGGGGUGGGGGUCCUCCUGUUUGGUCCUGAGUUGGGGCCCAGAACUGCCAGGGCUGCCCUUCCACGUCCUCCGGCCCCCCACCCCCCACCCCGGCCUCUGCAUGUUCAGGUCUUUGGGGUUUUCCCACCAUUAGGUCAGAAUUCCCUCAAUGAUCUAGCAAGGCGGCUUUUCAGUGUUUUGUUCUAUUUUUUGGUAGGAUGCAGACCCUUAGGAAAUUUAAAACAUUUUGUAUGUGCAAGAAUAUAUUUAAUAGAAUAAUACUUUUCACCCCGGCCUGGCUAAUUGUGAGUUUUAGUUACUACUAAAAAGUUGAGGAGUUUCUGUUGUGGUGCAGCGGGUUAAGAACCUGACAUAGUGUCUGUGAGGAUGAGGGUUGAUCCUUGGCCUCUCUCAGUGGGCCAAGAAUCCGCAUUGCUGAGAGCUGUGGUGUAGGUCGAGGAAAUGGCUUAGAUCCCAUGUUGCUGUGGCUGUGGUGAAGGCCAGCAGCUGUAGCUCUGAUUCAACCCCUAGCCUGGGAACUUCCAUAUGCCACAGAGGCAGCCCUAAC
rnacentral:lncRNA from 1 species